UGAUUAAAGCUGAGAAAAGUGGGGAAACAAUGAUUAACUUAUACAGGCUGGGAAUUAAUUAUCUCCAUCCAACACAUUCAGUAUCAAAGUGAGCCGAUCUCACUCACUGUCAGACACUGCAGAGCGAGAAACAGAUGAUGGUUCCAUUGCAAACAUCCUUUUGCUGAAUAUUCUACUUACGGUAACUUGCCCAACAGCCAACCAGGAAGUGAAAAAGAAAAUGUGGAGAAGGAAUACCCACUCCAGCGUCAGAGUUCCAUUAUGGAGAACUAGAAAUGAGGGGGCUGGAAAAUGUAGUCUAGCUAUGUACUGAGAGAGAAAAAGGAGUUUGGUGAGUUUCUACCAUGGUUUCAUGACACGAUGAGAACCUGAUAAAAGUACCAGUGAGGAGAGGAACAAGACUGGGCUAAUGGCUGGAGAAGCUGAGCUGGAGUGAUAAUGUCAACGUGGCAGCAGUCAUGAAGACCAAGGGAGAAGCAAUCAAACAAUAGCAAUAAAUCAAGGAGACAGAUCCGGGUGAGGGCAGUCUCACCGAAGCAUAGCAGAAGGCCAGCAGAAGUGAAGGCCGUGUGUUGGAGUGAAGGUCUGAGCCCAUAGGUCUCCAUGGAGAAGUACCUUGAGAUAUUUCUAGGAAAAAGAAGUAGUCAGAGGGCCUGGGGAUUAGGCAGGUCUCCUUGUGAGGGCCAGACACGUGGACCACUCUCACAGGUAACCACUUACUGGCUGUAAUCUCUGGGCCAUGGAAAGGUGAAUGUAUUAGUUACAAGUCACAUAAGUGCAAACAUAUAUGCAUAGACAUACUAGUGUCUUUCAUUGAUUGAGCAUUACCUGUUUGCCAGGCACUAUACAUAUAUAUAUAUACUCUAAUUUUUACAACAGUGCUACGAUGUACUCAUUUUCCUUAGUUUCCAUGAAGAAACUAAAGUUUAAAGAGAUUAACUUGUUAUACAUUUUUGUAAGCAAAAAGCUGGAUUUGAACAUGGUGAAUCUGACACUAGAUUCCAAGCCACAGUGCAGUCACAUCUAUAUUCAUACUCUCUAUGAUAUAUGUGCAUAUAUUUUUAAAUGUAUAUUUUGUGACAGAGUGUAUCAAGUAGCUAUUGUUGCAUAACAAACUGCUGCUAAAAAUAGCAACUUAAAAACAGCUCUUCAUUAUUUUUCACAAGUCUAUGGGAUGGCUGAGCAAUUCUGCUGAUGUGGGCUGGGUUUAGUUGAUUUUGGCAAGUGUCUCUCGCACCCCUACGAUCAGCUAACAAACAGGUUGGCUGGGGGCUGCCGGGUCUGGGAUGGCCUCAGCUGAGGUGACCUGGCUCUGGUCCCCGUGGUCUCUCAUCCUCCAGCAGGCUAGCCCAGCUUUUUCUCAUGGCGAUGGCAAAGUUUCAAGAGAGAGUGGGUGCACACUAAGCCUCUUGAGGACUAGGCAUAGAACUGGCACUCCACCACUUUUGCCACAUUUGCCAAAGAGAGUCAUAAGACCAGCCCAGACUCAAGAGUGGGGAAAUAGAACCCACAUCUUGAUGGGAGGAAUUGAAAGGUCAUUUUGCAAUGGGUUUGGAUACAAGGAGGGGUAGAGAAUGGGGCCAUUUCAGUAAUCAACCUACUGCAUUUAACAGCUUAGGUAUUUUUCCCCUAAAAAGUAGGUAAGAAAACAGCAUGUUUGCUUAAAAUGUGGUUUUAUUAAUUAGUGCAAGGGCACACGAGUCUUCCAAAAUGUAUGUGUUGUCUAGUCCCUCUGGUCUAAAAAGGGCUGAAAUGGACAACAUGUUAAAUGGAUAAAUACCUUUUUUAUUUAGGGAGGCAGGGCACAAAAAUACCCACUUCCAGGCACCAGAUCCAUCUCAAUAGAAAAUAGCCUUGCAGUCGAUGAUUUUUAAAAAGCAAAACAAAACUGAAAAUUUGACUUCCUGUAUGCCCUGCAAAGAAGGGCGGGUGGAGAAGCUGUGAAUGUGUGAGGAGCAGCUGGCUUUUAUUUUUAAACACAUAUUAUCGCUACCCAGAUUUUUUCUAGAAAAAUGGAAAGAGACUUACUAAGGAAUUCUAACACACAGGGAUAUCAUUUCAAGUAGGUGCUAAUGAGAUUGAUGUGGUCUUUUCAGAAUAAAGUCUUGUCUUUAUAAUCUAUUCAUUUAGUCCAUGAAGUGGGAGAAAGAAACACAAAAUGCUGAAAUGUGGAAAAUGCUAGAGAUUCCUAAUAGGCCCUCAAGAAAUGUGUGGAUUGUCAGAGCCAGGCUUCAUUCACAUAGACUUUUCCCUCAGGGAGUACAGUUUGGACAUUCAUAAUUAUGAGAAUCUCCAUGUCAGAUUCCCGUAACACUAACAUCCUUUGUUCAGAGGGAAUUAUCCAAUACCAUCAGUGCUAACUUCAGUGCCACAAUAUUAUUCUUAGGUGAAAAGUUAUGAAUAAAUUUAAAGUGUAACAUGUAGAAAGCCAAGGAGAGGGCCAACCAAAUGCUUCUUCUGCUCUUCUGAGCUCACUUAUAGUAAAUCUGGAAAUGAUAUGGCAACUGACUCAUAAUUGAAUUGUUUUGUAGGUUUUAUGGCCAACUUACAAAACUAAUUUCUAUAAACUUUCAUCAAGAAUGGUAAAAAAAAUGUCUACAGGAACCAGUGAGAUAAUAUACGUGGCUAAGAAGGCAAGGUGGAAGUGGGUAGAGGUGAUUGGGGGAAUUGUAGAAUCCUUAUUUAAAAGGAGCUGAUGAAAACUUAAACAAAAGCACUGUGCAAUCCAAAAAAAGCACGUCUCUGGGUCAGAUAUGACCUGACUGAGUCAACUCAUGGUCUUUAUGAUAGAUCAACGUUAGAUCAAUAGAAAACUGCAUGCCUCUAAUCGUAACUCCUCUUGUACCAAAUUAGCACAAGGAUGAAAUUAAUUUUUCUUCUAAUUUAUUUUCUACCCUUUCCUUUAGAAAGUUAAAAUAAUACUACAAAAUUAUGUGCCAAUCUCAAGAUGCACAUGUAUAUGUGAUUUUCACGUCUGAGAUUUCCCUUUGGGUGUUUUCUGGAAUUGUCUGUGCAUAUUAAGAAAUGCAAAAACAAGUAUUUGGAGAUAACCAAGAUUCUAAACCUCAAACCUCUCUUGAAACGUAUAUAAAACUUAGACCAAAAGGUUACUUAUUCUUGUGUUAUCUAGGUGGGCUCUAAAUAAUAUGUUGUGAGACCUGAAUGUAGCUGGGACCUCAGCUUUCGUGCCAUGUCAAUGGAAAGAAACAGCAGAAAAGCAGAAAAGAAAUGAACAUUUGUCUAUACGAUUUCAUGCAAACAACUAUAUGAAUCAAUAAAUUUCCUAUUUCCUCUAAUAAGAAAAAUCAUUAAAAACAUAACUAGUCAUUUUUUGAAUUGUUCUCCACAGUGUUCCAGAGCACAUCAUCUUUAAUUGUACCCAAGUUGUUGGAGAAACAGCAUUGACAGCAUGUAUUGUGCCAUCACUGAGAAUGUCAUCCCAAGGAUUAAGUACCCAUUGUGAAAUAUUAGAUCACUUGUUUUUA